AGCGUACACGGUGGAUGCCCUGGCAGUCAGAGGCGAUGAAGGACGUGCUAAUCUGCGAUAAGCGUCGGUAAGGUGAUAUGAACCGUUAUAACCGGCGAUUUCCGAAUGGGGAAACCCAGUGUGAUUCGUCACACUAUCAUUAACUGAAUCCAUAGGUUAAUGAGGCGAACCGGGGGAACUGAAACAUCUAAGUACCCCGAGGAAAAGAAAUCAACCGAGAUUCCCCCAGUAGCGGCGAGCGAACGGGGAGCAGCCCAGAGCCUGAAUCAGUGUGUGUGUUAGUGGAAGCGUCUGGAAAGGCGCGCGAUACAGGGUGACAGCCCCGUACACAAAAAUGCACAUGCUGUGAGCUCGAUGAGUAGGGCGGGACACGUGGUAUCCUGUCUGAAUAUGGGGGGACCAUCCUCCAAGGCUAAAUACUCCUGACUGACCGAUAGUGAACCAGUACCGUGAGGGAAAGGCGAAAAGAACCCCGGCGAGGGGAGUGAAAAAGAACCUGAAACCGUGUACGUACAAGCAGUGGGAGCACGCUUAGGCGUGUGACUGCGUACCUUUUGUAUAAUGGGUCAGCGACUUAUAUUCUGUAGCAAGGUUAACCGAAUAGGGGAGCCGAAGGGAAACCGAGUCUUAACUGGGCGUUAAGUUGCAGGGUAUAGACCCGAAACCCGGUGAUCUAGCCAUGGGCAGGUUGAAGGUUGGGUAACACUAACUGGAGGACCGAACCGACUAAUGUUGAAAAAUUAGCGGAUGACUUGUGGCUGGGGGUGAAAGGCCAAUCAAACCGGGAGAUAGCUGGUUCUCCCCGAAAGCUAUUUAGGUAGCGCCUCGUGAAUUCAUCUCCGGGGGUAGAGCACUGUUUCGGCAAGGGGGUCAUCCCGACUUACCAACCCGAUGCAAACUGCGAAUACCGGAGAAUGUUAUCACGGGAGACACACGGCGGGUGCUAACGUCCGUCGUGAAGAGGGAAACAACCCAGACCGCCAGCUAAGGUCCCAAAGUCAUGGUUAAGUGGGAAACGAUGUGGGAAGGCCCAGACAGCCAGGAUGUUGGCUUAGAAGCAGCCAUCAUUUAAAGAAAGCGUAAUAGCUCACUGGUCGAGUCGGCCUGCGCGGAAGAUGUAACGGGGCUAAACCAUGCACCGAAGCUGCGGCAGCGACACUAUGUGUUGUUGGGUAGGGGAGCGUUCUGUAAGCCUGCGAAGGUGUGCUGUGAGGCAUGCUGGAGGUAUCAGAAGUGCGAAUGCUGACAUAAGUAACGAUAAAGCGGGUGAAAAGCCCGCUCGCCGGAAGACCAAGGGUUCCUGUCCAACGUUAAUCGGGGCAGGGUGAGUCGACCCCUAAGGCGAGGCCGAAAGGCGUAGUCGAUGGGAAACAGGUUAAUAUUCCUGUACUUGGUGUUACUGCGAAGGGGGGACGGAGAAGGCUAUGUUGGCCGGGCGACGGUUGUCCCGGUUUAAGCGUGUAGGCUGGUUUUCCAGGCAAAUCCGGAAAAUCAAGGUUGAGGCGUGAUGACGAGGCACUACGGUGCUGAAGCAACAAAUGCCCUGCUUCCAGGAAAAGCCUCUAAGCAUCAGGUAACAUCAAAUCGUACCCCAAACCGACACAGGUGGUCAGGUAGAGAAUACCAAGGCGCUUGAGAGAACUCGGGUGAAGGAACUAGGCAAAAUGGUGCCGUAACUUCGGGAGAAGGCACGCUGAUAUGUAGGUGAAGUCCCUCGCGGAUGGAGCUGAAAUCAGUCGAAGAUACCAGCUGGCUGCAACUGUUUAUUAAAAACACAGCACUGUGCAAACACGAAAGUGGACGUAUACGGUGUGACGCCUGCCCGGUGCCGGAAGGUUAAUUGAUGGGGUUAGCGCAAGCGAAGCUCUUGAUCGAAGCCCCGGUAAACGGCGGCCGUAACUAUAACGGUCCUAAGGUAGCGAAAUUCCUUGUCGGGUAAGUUCCGACCUGCACGAAUGGCGUAAUGAUGGCCAGGCUGUCUCCACCCGAGACUCAGUGAAAUUGAACUCGCUGUGAAGAUGCAGUGUACCCGCGGCAAGACGGAAAGACCCCGUGAACCUUUACUAUAGCUUGACACUGAACAUUGAGCCUUGAUGUGUAGGAUAGGUGGGAGGCUUGGAAGUGUGGACGCCAGUCUGCAUGGAGCCGACCUUGAAAUACCACCCUUUAAUGUUUGAUGUUCUAACGUUGACCCGUAAUCCGGGUUGCGGACAGUGUCUGGUGGGUAGUUUGACUGGGGCGGUCUCCUCCUAAAGAGUAACGGAGGAGCACGAAGGUUGGCUAAUCCUGGUCGGACAUCAGGAGGUUAGUGCAAUGGCAUAAGCCAGCUUGACUGCGAGCGUGACGGCGCGAGCAGGUGCGAAAGCAGGUCAUAGUGAUCCGGUGGUUCUGAAUGGAAGGGCCAUCGCUCAACGGAUAAAAGGUACUCCGGGGAUAACAGGCUGAUACCGCCCAAGAGUUCAUAUCGACGGCGGUGUUUGGCACCUCGAUGUCGGCUCAUCACAUCCUGGGGCUGAAGUAGGUCCCAAGGGUAUGGCUGUUCGCCAUUUAAAGUGGUACGCGAGCUGGGUUUAGAACGUCGUGAGACAGUUCGGUCCCUAUCUGCCGUGGGCGCUGGAGAAUUGAGGGGGGCUGCUCCUAGUACGAGAGGACCGGAGUGGACGCAUCACUGGUGUUCGGGUUGUCAUGCCAAUGGCACUGCCCGGUAGCUAAAUGCGGAAGAGAUAAGUGCUGAAAGCAUCUAAGCACGAAACUUGCCCCGAGAUGAGUUCUCCCUGACUCCUUGA
rnacentral:rRNA from 1 species